CAGCAGCAGCCGCGGGAAUACGAAGGGUGCAAGCGUUAAUCGGAAUUACUGGGCGUAAAGCGUGCGUAGGCGGUUUGUUAAGUCUGCUGUGAAAUCCCCGGGCUCAACCUGGGAAUGGCAGUGGAUACUGGCAAGCUAGAGUGUGUCAGAGGAUGGUGGAAUUCCCGGUGUAGCGGUGAAAUGCGUAGAGAUCGGGAGGAACAUCAGUGGCGAAGGCGGCCAUCUGGGACAACACUGACGCUGAGGCACGAAAGCGUGGGGAGCAAACAGGAUUAGAUACCCGAGUAGUCCCUGUCUCUUAUAC
rnacentral:rRNA from 1 species